GACGUCCGCCCCCGAGGCCGGAAUGUAGGAGCUCCUUUACCUCAGGGCACCCUCCUGGGACGAACGCGCCACUGUCCCGAGGCAGAAGCGGGCUUCGACAAUCCCUCCCUCCCUUCCCCCUCGAGCGCCCGUGCCCUCGGGUCGAAGGUCCGGACAGCCCUUCCGGCCUUGUGUGUGUGUGUGUGUGUGUGUGUGUGUGUGUGUGUGUGGUGUGCGCGCGCGCGCGCGUGCGUGUGUUGGGAGCGGGUUGCCAGGCACACCCUCGCCCCUGAGUGUGGAAGGUGAGGUGAGGGCGGCCGAGCUGCUUUUGCAGGGCAUGCCGGCUUGGCGUUGAAGAUGUGGCCGCGGCCGCUCUGCGUGGGGAGGAGGUUGCUGCAGGCGCUUGAGGGAAGGGGCCCGAGGACGCGGGUGUGAGUAUUGCUUGGCGUUGACCCAGGGCCUCGCCGUCGGGGGUCUGAUGACACCGAAGGUUGAAUACUGAGUAGUCCCUCCUAAUUGUUGGAGGGGGGUCCACGACUAAGCAGUUUAAGCAGUCUAUGCAGCCCUGCCUCCAAAGUCCCAGGAAGCUGAGGCCCAAGAAAGAGGCUUGUAACCCAGCAGCUUAGCAGCUGAGCCCCAAACCGCGAUUUUUUUUUUUUUUUUUUUUGGCAACUGAGUCUCGCUUAUUGUCCAGGCUGGAGUGCAGUGGCGCAAUCUCAGCUCGGUGCACCCUGUCUCCCGGGUUCAAGCGAUUCUCCUGCCUCAGCCUCCCGAGUAGCUGGGACUACAGGCAUACGCCACCACGCCCGGCUAAUUUUUGUAUUUUUAGUAGGGACUGUGUUUCACCAUGUCGGCCAGGCUCGUCUCGAACUCCUGACCUCAGGUGAUCUGCCUGCCUCGUCCUCCCAAAGUGCUGGGAUUACAGGGGUGCCGCCAGCCUCAAACUGUGUUUUAAAUUUAUUUUUCCUUCUUUUCUUUUUCCUCUCCCCUCUCUGGGUUUCAGGAUAUAGCCUUGAAACAAACUGCCUGUAUGUAACCUCUCAUCUUAAAAUACAGCCUCAGGAUGUGCUGUGAACCUCCUCUCACUUUCCUGUCUCAUGUGUACUCCACGGCCUUAUGCAUGUUUGUUUCCUUACGUGCUUGUUAAGCACAGGCUAUGCCCUUAUCUGGUCAUAUAUUUCCUUAGGUGCCUCAGGGGCUGCAUCCUGAUAGGGAUCAGACACCACUGGAAUUCUCUCCAAUAAAAGCUUACUUCAGGAAUUGAACCUAUACCCAGCUGAAGAGUAACUCAUUUAUAACCUGGCAGGAUCCACAAUUGCACCAGCCCCUCCACCAAGUAAGACAAUAAGAUUUGCAUUUCAGAUCCUUUCUUUAAAAACCCCUGGGUUCCCCCUACAAAUUGAAGAGUGGAAUUGUUUGCUGCCCUUCCCCUGCUAGCAUGGAAGCUAGCAGAUUUUUCUUUAUUAUCGGUUCUUUCUACAAGCCGCAAGCAGCCAGACGUUUUUGCAGGUUACAGGCUGACACAUCCAGUUCCUUAGAAAAAAACAUUUAAUAAGGGCUUAUAAACAGAAACCACAUCUGUGUCUCCCUGUGGUUUCCCAUGCUUCUCCCUCAGGCCCAGAGCUUGCAGACCAUAGGGGAAUGGUCAUUCAGAAGGGAUGUGCAGGACAGUUGAAGUAUGAUAACAUCAAGGUUGUUUGACCUAAGGGCUGGAUUUACAGUAGGUGCUUGCUCUCAUACAAGGAGCAAUAGAUAACCUGGGAAUCUCAGGGGCCUUCUGGGAGGCUCAGAAGCCAACUUAGCUGAAACAGUGGAUUCACAUCCAACAUGGAGUUGGCUUUAGCCUCCACAAGGACUUCUUCCAACCUCUUUUGGGGCCCCUCGCUUGCUUGAAAUCUGAUGUUCAGACCAAUUUUUGUAUUGGGUAAUAGCACUACUGGAGUACUGGGUAACACCUCAGCCCAUCCUCAGUCUCUCACACCUCUGUGUCACUUGGCUCAUAUGAGGCCAUCUCCAGGUGGACCAAAGAUGAGAGGAUAUGGGAGAUAGACUGUCCAUCACUUUUUCCUGGAGACUGACACCUGCUUCAAAGCGUGUGUGUGUGUGUGUGUGUGUGUGUGUAUGUGUGUGUAUGUGUGUGCAUGCACUUGCAGUCAUAUACGAUUUGCAGUGGCCAGUCUGUGGAUUUGGAUUUCAUUAUGCUGUUGAGCAUGUGUCUGUGAGUCUGUUUGCCAGGUGCAUAUGUGUGCUUGGGACUGUGUGGGCAUCCCUGGAGCCCUGUGCUUGUUCUUGGAGAAGCCCAAAGAAGAGGGGCUCAGGACAUUUCUGGCUGGCAACACCCCACCUCCAGGCCUGCUACCCCACCUCCCCGACCACACCCCAUCCUGCCUAUAUUGUAGUUUGUACUUUCAUUUGGUGGUUCCUGUUCCUGUGCUCUUGUCCAGUGUUCAAGAAGAAUGAGGAUUCGCUGACAGUUGAAGGUCGCCCACUACCGCAAAUUAUGCAGUCGAGUUUCCCACAUUUGGGGAAAUCGCAGGGGUCAGCACAUCCAGAGUGCAAUGGAUAAGCCUUGCCCUGGGAAACCCACCUUUGUGAUCAUGGUAUCUCCCCUGCCAGUCAUCUGGAGGUGUCCAGUGGAGGACUCUAAGCGAAUAGAGGGAGCUUUCGUCCCGGAAUCACCUCUUGGAGGAGAGCUGUGCAGAAAAGACACCCAGUUUGCAUCAGCCUAUUGAUUGGAUAGGGAGCUGUUUCCAACAGAAAACCCCACCAUAGAGAAAACUGGAAGCUUGUCUGCACAAAGCAUUUUCAAGUAACACUCCCCAAGAAUCUCUGUGUGGACAGACCUUACUGAAGCUUCAUGAAUUCUCUGGAGGAAGAGAUGAUGAAAACGUUUCCAUGUCUGAAGGUGAUAUUGAAUUGGGAGACUGGACAGAGAGCACAGAGCAACAUGAAAAGCAGUUUCAGAAGUCAGAUGGAGUUGGAUGCAAACCCCGUUUCCAGCACUUGUCAGCUAUGUGGUCUUGGGCAAAUUAUCCCCCUUUUAUUUUAUUUUUUGAGAUGAAGUCUCACUCUGUCACCCAGGCUGGAGUCACACACUCAGCACCAUCUCAGCUCACUGCAACGCUUGCCUCUUGGGUUCAAGCAAUUCUUGUGCCUCCCAGUAGCUGGGAUUACAGGUGUGCACCACCAUGCCUGGCUAAUUUUUUUUUUUUUUUUAGUAGAGUUGGGUUUCACCAUGCUGGGCAGACUGGUCUUGAACUCCUGACCUCAGGUCUCCUAAAGUGCUGGGAUUACAGGCAUGAGCUACUUACCCUUUUGGAGCCUCGGUUGCUUCUUCAUCUGUAAAAUGGGAAUGAAAGUAUGUAUAAGGUCGCUAUGAAGACACUGCACAUAAAGAGGCUUCAAUAAACAUUAGCUAUUGUUUUUCUAGCAGCCAGGCCCCAAGGUGAGGAGGGCAAGGAUAAAGGGGCAUGAGCCUCCUCACUGAAGGCAAAGUUCAUGAGGGACAGGUACAGAGUCAGGCUGUUCCUGCUAUAUUUUAGCAGCCUGAGCGGCAUGUGAACCAUGACAGGUACACCAUAAGGAAUUGUUUAUGGAAUGCGUAAAAACUAAGCAAGAGUCAGGGGCUGAGGGAGUAGGUUUUGAUUUGCUAAAGUGGAAGGGAGAACAUCUCUGCAAAAUGCAUCAUGACUCUCACCUUAGGGCCAUAGGCCCUGAGCCAGAUAUUUUGACUCGAGGAAGUGGUCCAGGCAGUUAUAACAUAAAAUUUUGAAUGGAACCUACUUAUGGGUGUUCCAAGGUGGUCACAGCCAGAAAGACCAAUGGAAUCUGGAUGUUUUCAGGGAGGACUUUGGAAUUCAACUGGAAACCUUUUCCUCUCCUUGGGUUGUGCCCCUCACUCAGUGCUUUCAUGGUUACAGGGGCUCUAUCAGGAGCUGCCAGAAACAUCCUGACCCCUCUGUUUGGGAAAACGAAGGCUGAGAAGGAAAAUAAUAGAAAUCUAUAAACCCUCCAAGGCUGAACUGAAUUCGGACCAUUAGAAGAGGAGCAUCUUAGAACUCACAAGUAUUGUGUGAAGAUAACUUAUAGGAAGAUCUGUUUGCAGAGAGUUUUAAACUUACAGUAAGAAUGUCUACUGUCCUCAUGAUCCGUCUCACAAAUCACUUGAUCUUUAAGGGACAGGCAGAGCAGACACAUCCUUGCUGGAUCACAGUUGAGAGAACUAAAGUGAAGUGAUUGACCAAGGUUCCACUUCUGGGGAGUAGCCAAGCCAGGGCUGGACCUAGGCCAUGAAGUGUUGUCUCUCAGAAGUGCUACAGGUUGGAAGUAAAGACAGUUUCCGGGGAAGUUCAUAUCUCUUUUUAUUGAGAUGGAGUUUUGCUCUUGUUGCCCAGGCUGGAGUGCAAUAGCACGAUCUCGGCUCACUGCAACCUCUACCUCCCGAGUUCAAGCGAUUCUCCUGCCUCAGCCUUCCGAGUAGGUGGAAUUACAGGCACUCACCACCACACCUGGCUAAUUAUUUUGAGCUUUUUAGUAGAGAUGGGGUUUCACCAUGUUGACCAGGCUGGUCUUGAACUCCUGACCUCAGGUAAUCCACCUGCCUUGGCCUCCCAAAGUGCUGGGAUUAUAGGCGUGAGUCACAGCACCCAGCCCGUGUUCAUAUUUUCAUGAAUGUUGUAUCUAUCGUAGCUGUGAAAGGACUGUGAGGCUGUCUGGAAUAUACUGUUAAUGUUGUGAAGGGCAUAGCUUUGGAGGCACUUUGCUGCUAGGCUUAGCCAAGUCUACAGUCCUGUGGCUCUGAGCAGGUUGUCAAGUCUGUCUGGGCUUUAGCAAGAAUGUUACCUGUCCUAUGUAUCUUGGAGGAGUGUCCUGAGGACCAGAUGAGAUAAAGGAAAAUAAUGUGAUAUUACAAAUCUUAAUAUCGCACUGGAAGGUAUCACUGAAGGUCCUUUGGUACCUCCGCUGAAGACAGCCUCCUGGUCCUGUUUGCCUGUGGGCCUGACUCAGUGUGUAUAAGCUUCUCUACCCAGGGAUAAGUCAGAUUAAGCUGGGUUAAAGGAUGCAGAGUACACAGUCUCCUCCUGAGAGUUAGAGCAGGAGUGUAACACUCGGGUUAGUAAAUGACCUUGGAUUUUGUUCCACUUUUCUAUGUGCACAGAAAAAAAAAGCAUAUUCCUUUAGAUGAAUUUGUUCUAAGCAGAAAAGUCCUUUGAGAGCUGAAAAAAGCAGAAAGGCUCAUGUUUUCUUUCCAAACUCUAAAAAACUGUAAGAAAUUAAAUUGUGUAGCUGCAUGCUCAAAGAUCAGAAAUUUAUUACAUUAACUAGGCUUGAAGUCUGGGUAACUUUGUGUGCUUUUUAAGUGAUUCACAUUUGAAAAGCAAAAAAAUCAAAAUGCAUAAAAUUUCCCUUUCACUGAGCAAACAAUAUAAGUGUCUGUCUUUGGGUGACAGUUGACAAAACACAGAAUGAUUAAUAUGAGGACCUGCAGGAGUUCACCCUCAGUGACUUCACACGCAUCACCUGCUCGGAUAAAAACACAUCUGUCUGAAGCAGCUGAGAAAUGCAACUGGGAACGGAAUGGCAUCAAAAUCAAGAAUUUCUUUUCAGAUCCUGUGAGAUGUAAAGAGGAUAGGUAAAGGUUCUAACAAGAAUGUACGAAUUUAACAUUUUAAAUUUUAUUAUCAAAACAGUAGAUUGACGUUAAGAAAAUUAAAAAAUGCAAUGACUCAUUAUACAGCUCCAUGCCGGCUGACACUGUUAUGGUAAGAACAUAGAUGUGGAGACAGAAAACAUAGCUUUGGAAUGUAUCAAUGUAAUGAAUGUGAGAAUUAGCUCCGUCCUUGGUAAACUGUUGACACUGGGAAGCGUAUUUCUUUGAGACGUUGCUUCCUUGUUGCAAAACAAAGAGGGUAAUAACAACUGUAUUCAACUGUGCUUAGAGGACAAAAUGAAAUAAUAUAUGUGCUAGCACUUUGCAAAUGUGAGUUAUUAUUUUCUGGUGUUCUUUGUAUUUUUAUCCAUGAAAAAAAAUACAUGUAGUUUCUCCUUAUAAUUUUUGUUGAUUGCAUCUUACACCUGUUUUUGCUUUCCCUGUGGUUCUGACCAUCCUUCUGUGCCUGUCUUUUUGGGCAGUAUUUAGGGGCAUUUUUUUCUUUCUCAAACUGUGACUCUGUUUCCCCCCUCAGAUUUUCUGUUUCACAGUUCUUUAGCAAGGAGCUCCAGAUCACCUGGUUACCUUUGUCAACUUCCUUCUUUUGUGCCAAAUCUCUCUACUUAGAGACUCUAGUAUCUUCAGAGUUGAAAAGGACCUCACUUUUUUUUUUUUUUUUUGAGACAGAGUGUUACUCUUAUAGCUCAGGCUGGAGUGCAGUGGCACAGUAUCAGCUCACUGCAAUCUCUGCCUCCCAAGUUCAAGUGAUUCUCCUGCCUCAGCCUCCUGAGUAGCUGGGAUUACAGGCAUCUGCCACCAUGUCCGGCUAAUUUUUGUGUUUUUCGCAGAGAUGAGGUUUCACCAUGUUGGUCAGGCUGGUCUCAAACUCCUGACCUUAGGUGAUCUGCCCACCUCAGCCUCCCAAGGUGCUGGGAUUGUGAGCCACUAUGCCUGGCCAGGAUCUCACUUUUUAAGAUGAGAAAGCUGAGGUCCAGGGGUCACCUGGGAGGAAACUGCCCUGUUUAGAAGUAACAGUCUCAACAAAAGCCCAGGCCUGAAGUCUUUGGCCAGAUCUUUCUUCACCAAAUCUCUAGCAAAGGACCCUUCUCUUUGGACUUCAGAUCCAAAGCACGUAUCGUGGCCAGAUAAGGUGACUCACUCCUGUAUCCUAGCACUUUCAGAAGGCAAGGUGGAGGACCAUUUGAGGCCAGGAGUUUGAGACCAGCCUGGGUAACAAUGUCAGACCCUAUCUCUACAAAAAAAAAGUUUUUUUUCAAUUAGCUGGGCAUGGUGGCACACACCUGUAGUCACAGCUACUUGGGAGGCUGAGGUAGGAGGAUGGCUUGAGCCUAGGAGGUUGAGUUGUAGUGAGCUGUGAUUGUGUCACUGUACUCCAGCCUGGGUGACAGAGUGAGACAGUAAAAAAAAAAAAAAAAAAAGCACACGUCUUAAUACUCUCCUCUUCUGCUCAGAGCCCUAUUUGUUGUUGAAACCAUGACCAUGUAAUAGUAUAUAUGUGUAUAUAUAUACACAUACAUAUGUAUAUAUACAUAUAUUUAUGUAUAUAGUGUGUGGUAUGUGUGUGUGUGUGUAAUCAUAUGAGGGCACUAGGUACCAGG